UUGUGGUUUCCUAUAUCCUAUCCGCCGAUUUUGACGUUUGCUUUGAUAGGUGUUGUCAUCCAAAUUUGCAAUCCUAAACAUUUCUAGGAUUUGUUACAAAAAAUAUCUAUUUUCUUCCAAAUGUGGAAGAAUAUUACUGUACUAUAGGACAUUUUGUGAAAGAUGACGUCGGCGAAUUGUUCUCACGCUCCAGGAGCAGUGAUAGCAGUGAUUUGGAGGACCUCAUGAUCAUCAAAUGAUCAUGUCGAGUUCGCGCUCGGAAUUUCUGUAGAACAUUUGGAGUUUGGGAACGAACUCUAUCUGCAGAAUUAUGAGAAUUGAAGAAGUUCCUUCAGAAAGGUGCCAGCUGGGGACUAUUAUUGUGGAAAGGUGGCCUGAAGACAUUGCUCAAAGGACAGACCUGACAAAUAAUUAUUUUAGAAAGGUUUUGAUAAAUAAAACAUUUUUCCAUAUACUUAAA